rnacentral:sRNA from 1 species
UCUGGGUGCAGGGGCGCACCCCUGUAAUUUCAGCUACUUGGGAGGCUGAGGUGGGAGGAUUGCUUGAGCCCAGGAGUUCUGGGCCAGCCUGAGCAGUGUAGCAAGACCCCAUCUCUU